UACGUAGGGCGCAAGCGUUGUCCGGAAUUAUUGGGCGUAAAGAGCUCGUAGGCGGCUUGUCACGUCGGGUGUGAAAGCCCGGGGCUUAACCCCGGGUCUGCAUUCGAUACGGGCAGGCUAGAGUGUGGUAGGGGAGAUCGGAAUUCCUGGUGUAGCGGUGAAAUGCGCAGAUAUCAGGAGGAACACCGGUGGCGAAGGCGGAUCUCUGGGCCAUUACUGACGCUGAGGAGCGAAAGCGUGGGGAGUGAACAGG
rnacentral:rRNA from 1 species